rnacentral:tRNA from 6 species
UUUUUGGGGAUAGAGGGACUUGAACCCUCACGAUUUUUAAAGUCGACGGA